UCGUUCCCGCCGCCUGUGGACUUGUGGACUUGCCGGUUUAGGUUGCUCGCCAAGACCAGUGGACUUGCCGGUUUAGGUUGCUCGCCAAGGCCAGUGGACUGGGCGACUAAAGAUGUUUGUUUCCUUUCGCUUACGCCAUGUCGGCGACGUAGUCUUCUUCUUUUUUCCUCAAGCCAUGUUGGCAGCUUAGAUUCCAGCACACCAUAGGACGCAUGUAAAAGCAUUUAAAAGACACACUUAGCUCUCAUACUUCGAGCUCGGUGUCUUGUGGACUAGUGGACUGGGCGAGCCCCUAGAGGGGCGACGCCCAGGGUUUG
rnacentral:lncRNA from 1 species